GUAGGGAAUAUUGGGCAAUGGUCGGAAGACUGACCCAGCCAUGCCGCGUGCAGGAAGACGGCCCUCUGGGUGGUAAACUGCUUUUAUCUGGGAAGAAAAAGGUCAUGCGUGGCAAAUUGCCGGUACCAGAUGAAUAAGCACCGGCUAACUCCGUGCCAGCAGCCGCGGUAAUACGGAGGGUGCGAGCGUUGUCCGGAUUUAUUGGGUUUAAAGGGUGCGUAGGCGGCUGAUUAAGUCAGCGGUGAAAGACUUCGGCUUAACCGGAGCAGUGCCGUUGAUACUGGUUGGCUUGAGUGUCGGAGGGGUACAUGGAAUUGAUGGUGUAGCGGUGAAAUGCAUAGAUACCAUCAGGAACACCGAUAGCGAAGGCAUUGUACUGGCCGACAACUGACGCUGAUGCACGAAAGUGUGGGGAUCGAACAGGAUUAGAAACCCGGGUAGUCC
rnacentral:rRNA from 1 species